UGAUGAUCUGGCAGAAAAUCUCGUCCUUCAGGGGCUCGGCCUUCAGCGCGCACUCGAACAUCUGGUCCGUCAACUCGUUGACUGAGCGAGUGCGCUUGGACGGGUAGUCGCCCAUGUACUUCAUCACAGGAACAUGAUGAAAGGAUAUCGAUGAAGGCCAUACAGGCCUCCUGAGCAAGCUCCUCGUGGUGGACCACCUUCUUCAGCAGGGGCUGUUUGAGAGGCUCCCUGGUGCAGCUCCACAGCUUAUCCUUGCCUCGGUUCUUUGUGACCAUCACCCUGCUCAGGGUGUGCUUGGGUGGAGGCCUGCACCAAGAACACCGAUUACAGAUGUAUAAGGUCACAGAAAUGCUGGCACCUAUCCCGGCCAACUUUGAGCGAAAGGUGGACGACACCCUGAACUGGUCGUCAGUCACUCACAGGGCACUAUCGACAAAGUCACUGGGUGGGAACUGAACCCACGCUGCCUGCCUGCACCAAAGUCA